GACGAACGCUGGCGGCGUGCUUAACACAUGCAAGUCGAACGGAAAGGCCCUGCUUGCAGGGUACUCGAGUGGCGAACGGGUGAGUAACACGUGGGUGAUCUGCCCUGCACUUCGGGAUAAGCUUGGGAAACUGGGUCUAAUACCGGAUAGGACCGCACUUUAGUGUGUGUGGUGGAAGUUUUUUCGGUGUAGGAUGAGCUCGCGGCCUAUCAGCUUGUUGGUGGGGUAAUGGCCUACCAAGGCGGCGACGGGUAGCCGGCCUGAGAGGGUGUACGGCCACAUUGGGACUGAGAUACGGCCCAGACUCCUACGGGAGGCAGCAGUGGGGAAUAUUGCACAAUGGGCGCAAGCCUGAUGCAGCGACGCCGCGUGGGGGAUGAAGGCCUUCGGGUUGUAAACUCCUUUCGCUAGGGACGAAGCUUUUUGUGACGGUACCUAGAUAAGAAGCACCGGCUAACUACGUG
rnacentral:rRNA from 1 species